GCGUGCUAAUACAUGCAAGUAGAACGCUGAAGGAGGAGCUUGCUCUUCUGGAAGAGUUGCGAACGGGUGAGUAACGCGUAGGUAACCUGCCUGGUAGCGGGGGAUAACUAUUGGAAACGAUAGCUAAUACCGCAUAAGAUUGAAUAUCGCAUGAUAAUUGAUUAAAAGAUGCAAAUGCAUCACUACCAGAUGGACCUGCGUUGUAUUAGCUAGUAGGUGAGGUAACGGCUCACCUAGGCGACGAUACAUAGCCGACCUGAGAGGGUGAUCGGCCACACUGGGACUGAGACACGGCCCAGACGCCUACGGGAGGCAGCAGUAGGGAAUCUUCGGCAAUGGGGGCAACCCUGACCGAGCAACGCCGCGUGAGUGAAGAAGGUUUUCGGAUCGUAAAGCUCUGUUGUAAGAGAAGAACGAGUGUGAGAGUGGAAAGUUCACACUGUGACGGUAUCUUACCAGAAAGGGACGGCUAACUACGUGCCAGCAGCCGCGGUAAUACGUAGGUCCCGAGCGUUGUCCGGAUUUAUUGGGCGUAAAGCGAGCGCAGGCGGUUAGAUAAGUCUGAAGUUAAAGGCUGUGGCUUAACCAUAGUACGCUUUGGAAACUGUUUAACUUGAGUGCAGAAGGGGAGAGUGGAAUUCCAUGUGUAGCGGUGAAAUGCGUAGAUAUAUGGAGGAACACCGGUGGCGAAAGCGGCUCUCUGGUCUGUAACUGACGCUGAGGCUCGAAAGCGUGGGGAGCGAACAGGAUUAGAUACCCUGGUAGUCCACGCCGUAAACGAUGAGUGCUAGGUGUUAGGCCCUUUUCCGGGGCUUAGUGCCGUAGCUAACGCAUUAAGCACUCCG
rnacentral:rRNA from 1 species